UUUCCCUCAGGAUAGCUGGCGCUCGUCGCGACGUGAACCCUUCGCAGUUUUAUCCGGUAAAGCGAAUGAUUAGAGGUCUUGGGGCCGAAACGAUCUCAACCUAUUCUCAAACUUUAAAUGGGUAAGAGGCCCGGCUCGCUGGCUUGGAGCCGGGCGUGGAAUGCGAGCGCCUAGUGGGACACUUUUGUUAAGCAGAACUGGCGCUGCGGGAUGAACCGAACGCCUGGUUAAGGCGCCCGAUGCCGACGCUCAUCAGACCCCAGAAAAGGUGUUGGUUGAUAUAGACAGCAGGACGGUGGCCAUGGAAGUCGGAACCCGCUAAAGAGUGUGUAACAACUCACCUGGUGGACAAUGUGGACUGAGUGGGGAACCAAAGCAACCUCCAUACAGCAGCUGCAUGAG
rnacentral:rRNA from 1 species